AUGCAAGAUUUGCUUUUCCUCACACUCGUCUUUCUGAGCGGCUAUCUUGCCUCCAGCUUCAGGGUCAGUCAACUUUGGUCCUUUUCCUUUCAACAUUCUUCCGGGUUGAUUAAAUCCAGAGAGAAUGGAUUCUUUCUAACUCAGAAACCUCUUCCUGGUGGGAGAAUUCUACCAAGCACCUUCUGGACUCCACAGCUGUUCCUGGCAUCCAAACUGCAAACUGCCCUGGGGUUGGAGGAAAUCUGAUUAUGCUGGAGUGGAAAUGCCUAGAGUGGAGAAAUAAAACUUGCCAGUUUUCCUGACA
rnacentral:lncRNA from 1 species